rnacentral:rRNA from 1 species
AGACGUCUACAUUAGAUACCCCCGUAGUCCCAGCCGUAAACUAUGCGCGUUAGGUGUAUCGGUGACCACGAGUCACCGAGGUGCCGAAGGGAAACCGUGAAACGUGCCGCCUGGGAAGUACGGUCGCAAGGCUGAAACUUAAAGGAAUUGGCGGGAGAGCACCACAACGGGUGGAGCCUGCGGUUUAAUUGGACUCAACGCCGGGAAGCUCACCGGAUAAGACAGCGGAAUGAUUGCCGGGCUGAAGACUCUGCAUGACUAGCUG